UGCGCAGGCGGUUGAGUAAGACAGAUGUGAAAUCCCCGAGCUUAACUCGGGAAUGGCAUAUGUGACUGCUCGACUAGAGUGUGUCAGAGGGAGGUGGAAUUCCACGUGUAGCAGUGAAAUGCGUAGAUAUGUGGAAGAACACCGAUGGCGAAGGCAGCCUCCUGGGACAUAACUGACGCUCAGGCACGAAAGCGUGGGAGCAAACA
rnacentral:rRNA from 1 species